rnacentral:lncRNA from 1 species
AAAAAGGUGCCAAUGCUUCCUCUUCCAUCAGCUCAGAGGUAAACAGUCAACAUAUAGACAUAUGUUCUUCUUUCAGAUGGAACAUUGAGGUCCCCACCUUUAUGAAAGAUGAGGAAGAGUUUGUACUGCGUCCAGGGUCCACACUUGCCAAUGUUGAGUGAAUUGAUGAAAUGUUCCAUCCAUAAGUGAUUUGUACUGGGCAUGAAACUAAAAUAAUGAACAUGUAUUUUGCAUACAAAAUAUUAUGUAUACAUUAUUUUAUGCUUUAUUUAAAUUCAAAAAAUUACUCCUUGCAUAGUAUGUAUUUAAAUGUGUCUGUAUAUAGAUACAAUCAAAAAUGUGAAUGCACAUAGUGAUUUUGUCUUUAAUUUUCGUGGCGAGUAUUCACCUGUCAAAGCCAGUUUGUGCUGUCAUUUGGUGCUUUGGCAAGCAAUUAUUUUGGACCAUGUAGAAAUAAUGUGAGGGAUUAUGUUGUAGGUUCCAGAAGGAGUGCUAAAUUCAGCGGCAGAUGUGAGUGAACUUCAGAUGGUUUCUCCUAAUCACUUGGAGCAGCAGUCGGGUACAGUGAACGACAACAACAACCAUUCCCUCAACCGCAGUCUGUCCCAUACAGGUGCUUAGUGUCUCUUUAUAUGACCCUCUGCCUUAUUCUCUUUUCCCUUCAACAUCACUCCUUCAAUCCAUGAGUCUACCUUGCUUUCUCUCUCUCCCUCCCUCCCCUUCUCUCUCCUCCAGAUGUAUUGUUUUCUUUAUUGAUGUUGUCAGAUGAAGGGAACUUUGGGUUCACUGGGUUCCUUUUGGUAAAGCUGCAGAGUUCAUUUGUCCCCUUUCUGAACCUAUACAUUGAGAUUAAUUAAUCUCUUCAAAGAACAGAAAUAGGUUAAUUACUGUAAAUCAGGAACAGUAUAAUAAGACCACCAGAGCUCUAUUAGGGUGUAGCUUGCUGAAAAUGUUCUCUGUGUUGUACUCUGAAGGGUCUUCAGUGAAUGGAGUAUGUGACGUGUCAGAGAAGGCCGCUCUAGAGCAGUUCUCCAGUGGUUUGACUGAAUUAGAAUUAGGCACAGAUGAGGUUUUUGUCAUCGCCUCUGCACCCAACUCAGCCCAACUGCCUUUCUCCCCACAUACUCAACGAGACCGUUUCCUGAGACACAGUGACACGGGAUCCAGCCGCCCCUUUGACUGGUCGACUCCAGACCAAGCGCUGCCUUCUGUGACAAAGAGCAGCCAUGCCGGGUCCACAAACAGCGCACGACCACGAGCAUGGAGCGUCCGAACCUUCCAGGAUCUCCUUCCACCUCUUCCUCAACUCCAUAAGAAAUGGUGCAGCUGGAACUCAACCAGCCCAUUCACAAAGCUGGUGGACAGUGGACUCACAAGCACAUCUACAGACACUAGAAGGGGAAAGGUCCUAUCUGAUGCUCCUCUUCAUAGUCCCGCCAACAGCUGCCAGUCCGACUCCUUCAUGAGUAACGCCUCGUACCCCCUGACUCAACCCGCCCAGUGCCAGCGACGUCUCAACUCCACCAGCAACCUCAGACGCGCACGUUUCAACACUCCAUGCUUUGGCCUGCUGUCUGGCACAUCUGAGUCCUCCAAACCACAAGUAAAUGGAAUUACAACCUCAAAUACGUUCUCCGACACCAGCGGUGCCCCAUCAAGCCAGCUGCAGGUCAAAGGUCAAGUAUCAAGGAUUGAGGAUGACCACAUCACGGUACCAGUGUUUGCAAUCUCAGAAGAGGAAGACCAACAGCCUCUUGUUUCAGCAGAACAUCCCGAGAAGCCUUUGAGAAUGAAUGAACAGAUGUUUGAAGGCACAAAGAUGCCACUGCUAUCGAAAAGCCAAGUUCCCAGCAUCCAACCAAUCUCUUUAUCGAGGGGAGGCCGUGGAGGUGCAUUGAAGACGCAGGAUCCUUCAGCUCUCUCUUGUUAACAGUGACCCCAGAAAUAAAGUCUGCCAGUGCCAUGAAGUUUGAGAAUGAUGGUCAUGUCAGGACUGAAAACUCACAGCUUAUGAGCUGUUCCUGAUGUCUUCAUAUGGUGUGAAGCACAUAUAUGGUGUGUGACUAUGCCGUGGAGUUUCAAAAGGGUUUGUUAUGAAUAUUGGCAUGAAUGAAAAAUGUAAGCACUUAUUGUUCUUCCUGUUAUUGUAUCUGCACAGUUAAUUCACUAAAACUAUCUAACAGUAUAUUUUAUAACCUGCAAAUGUAUGUAUAUGAUAAACUUUUAACCAAGAUCACUUAAUGUUUCUACUCACUACUGAGAGUUUAAGUUGUAGACUGGCUGCAUUGUUACUUUCAUUAUGAAAUUCCAUGUAUUUGCUCUAUGAACAAUACGGCUUGUUCUAAUCCCUUUGCAACACGUAGAAGAUCGAUUAGCUGGUCUGGUAGAAAGCUGCUUGGCAUCUCUCUUGACUUCCACAUGUUUUGUUUCUUGUAAUCACUAAGGGUCCAAUACACAUUGUCUUGUAAAAAAAAAAAAACCCAAGCAAGUUAGUAAAGACAUAUAUGAAUGGAAAUAGGCAUAUAUAUUCUUAUUUCUCAAGGGACAUGACCACUGAAAAUUUACGUUUUUGUACUUAUUUUUAACUUUUCUUUUUACUAAAUAAAUUU